rnacentral:lncRNA from 1 species
AUGACUGGACAAAAGCAAGAGAUACAAUGCAGAGCCUGCUUUCAAACUUCAAAGAGCCCACGGAGCCCAGAGGGCUGGAUAUCAGACACUCAUGGUCUCCCAGGAAAGCCCAUUCCUCCUAUCUUAGUGGGGAGGGAGCAAGCUGAGGCACUGGCAAGUGAGCAAAACAUUAAGUGGAUUCAUUGUCCUGUGGUACACUGUGAUGAGAUACGCCAAUGGUCAUGGGAGCUACUGCUUAGGGCUUCAUUUGGCUUCCAUUGGGUUUCCUUGGCUGGAGGCUGUUCAUUCAGCCUCUUAGAGACAGAGGUGUCAGCAUUGCACCAGGCAUUCUUGUAGUGGGAAAGCCUUCCAGCCCAACACUACUGAGCAGAGCAGGGCUGUGAUAUUCUCACAUUGUACCAACAGUCCCUUGGCAAAGCAACUAAUUAAAUUAGAAUGAUGGGGCUGAAAUUUAUAUCUAUUUUCAUUACUUGGAGACUUAAUAAAAUCCCUAUCUGAAAGUAGAAAUUGUGGACCACAUAACACUUGAAGUGAUAAGCUAUUGAAAUAAGAGCUGAGAAUGAAAUAGCACCUUUUAAUGAAAUUCCAGGUCUGAAAAUUAUGUUCCCUGUCUUUCUUUGCGUUGGAAGUUUUGAGUCUGUUUACAACUUUUACUGUAAGAAAUGCCUUGAUAUAAUUAUUAUAUGCCACAAGAAACAUCCUUGUAACCUCUCUGCAAUGUCAUUAUGCCAACUUAAGUAACUCCUAUGAAAUCUUAAAAAAAAAAAAAAAAAAAAAAAGAUUGCUUUGGUGGUCAAAUAUACCACAGUAUUUUUCAAAAGCACUGCAAUUUUAAUAAACGUCUAUAGCUAUAUAAAAGGAAGAAAAGCAGGACCUACCCAAUCUCUUAACUAUCACAGUAUUUUAUUGUUGCAUUCCAGAAUCCUUCAUUCCAUCAACUUUAUUUUUUAUUGGUCUUUGACCCUGGUCUUUUUAUGAAAAAAUCACUAAUACUCCUUGUUUUCUACUAACCUUAUUCCAGCAGUUCAAAAUUCAUAUCAUAUCUGUAUUACAGCCUUUGUGGAAUAGUUUUUUCAGUGGGUUCUUCAGAUUUUAACAGAAAAUAAAGUGCUAAAAUUUACAGACUUAAUGCUGAGACAGGAGCUGAAGAUUGGCUCCCAGCUCUGUGUUCAGAUGAAGGCUCC